UACGUAGGGUGCAAGCGUUAAUCGGAAUUACUGGGCGUAAAGCGUGCGCAGGCGGUUAUGUAAGACAGAUGUGAAAUGCCCGGGCUUAACCUGGGAACUGCAUUUGUGACUGCAUGGCUAGAGUUUGGCAGAGGGGGGUAGAAUUCCACGUGUAGCAGUGAAAUGCGUAGAUAUGUGGAGGAAUACCGAUGGCGAAGGCAGCCCCCCUGGGAUAAGCACUGGACGCUCAUG
rnacentral:rRNA from 1 species